rnacentral:rRNA from 1 species
GGUUACUGCUAUCGGUGUUCGCCUAAGCCAUGCGAGUCAUAUGUUCUUCGGAACAUGGCGUACUGCUCAGUAACACGUGGAUAACCUGCCCUUGGGUCCGGCAUAACCCCGGGAAACUGGGGAUAAUUCCGGAUAACGCACAUAUGCUGGAAUGCUUUAUGCGUCAAAUGGAUUCUUCUGCCCAAGGAUGGGUCUGCGGCCUAUCAGGUAGUAGUGGGUGUAAUGUACCUACUAGCCUACAACGGGUACGGGUUGUGAGAGCAAGAGCCCGGAGAUGGAUUCUGAGACAUGAAUCCAGGCCCUACGGGGCGCAGCAGGCGCGAAAACUUUACAAUGCGGGAAACCGUGAUAAGGGGACACCGAGUGCCAGCAUCAUAUGCUGGCUGUCCGGGUGUGUAAAAUACACCUGUUAGCAAGGGCCGGGCAAGACCGGUGCCAGCCGCCGCGGUAACACCGGCGGCCCGAGUGGUGAUCGUAAUUAUUGGGUCUAAAGGGUCCGUAGCCGGUUUGGUCAGUCCUCCGGGAAAUCUGACGGCUUAACCGUUAGGCUUUCGGGGGAUACUGCCAGACUUGGAACCGGGAGAGGUAAGAGGUACUACAGGGGUAGGAGUGAAAUCUUGUAAUCCCUGUGGGACCACCUGUGGCGAAGGCGUCUUACCAGAACGGGUUCGACGGUGAGGGACGAAAGCCGGGGGCACGAACCGGAUUAGAUACCCGGGUAGUCCCAGCCGUAAACGAUGCUCGCUAGGUGUCAGGCAUGGCGCGACCGUGUCUGGUGCCGCAGGGAAGCCGUGAAGCGAGCCACCUGGGAAGUACGGCCGCAAGGCUGAAACUUAA